AUCAUUUUACCCUUUUGGAUAGGAUCAAGUGUACUAUCUCUUCUUGCCAGAUUAAUACCUGUUACCUCCUCAAUAUGGAAAAAAAUAUUACAUGGAUUUGGGGAAUUACUAUAUGAAAAGAGAGAUUUCAUCAUCCAGUCCACAUGUCAACCUGAUACUGCAUUACUGCCUGAAAUAAUUCUG